AUUUAAUAUUAACAACACUAGAAAAAUCCGUCGAACACGGUGAGACACACUGUAUAUCAUAUGUUAUGUUUAAUUUUGUAAACUCGGUUAAUAUCGCUAUAUUUAUACUUUUUGUAAAUAAAAACCUACAAACACAAAACAACAUGCUUACCCUUAAGCUAGUUAAUAGGCUGAUACUCUCCAAUAUUAAAAUGAACAGCAGCUCUCUUUGUGCUAUUUAUAGACAUUUUAAUUUUUCGAGUUGUUUACGUAAUUUUUAUUCGGUACGUACUCUGUAGAUAACAUUGUUAGACAAAACACAAGUUCUUAGUGGUCAAUA